rnacentral:rRNA from 1 species
UACGGAGGAUGCAAGCGUUAUCCGAAAUUAUUGGGCGUAAAGCGUUUGUAGGUGGUUUUUUAAGUCUACUGUUAAAUAUCAGAGCUUAACUUUGAAAAAGCAGUAUGAAACUAAUUAACUUGAGUUUGGUAGAGGCAGAGGGAACUCUCGAUGUAGUGGUGAAAUACGUAGAUAUCGGGGGGAACACCAGUAGCGAAAGCGCUCUGCUGGGCCAUAACUGACACUGAGAAACGAAAGCUAGGGGAGCAAAUAGG